AGAGUUUGAUCCUGGCUCAGGAUAAACGCUGGCGGCGUGCGUAACACAUGCAAGUCGAACGCGCAUCUUCGGAUGCGAGUGGCGGACGGGUGAGGAACACGUGGGUAACCUGCCCAGAAGUGGGGGAUACCGCUGGGAAACCAGCGACAAACCCGCAUACGGUUUCAUUUCGCAAGGAAUGGAAAGAAAAUCGUAAGAUG
rnacentral:rRNA from 1 species